AUUGAACGCUGGCGGCAUGCUUUACACAUGCAAGUCGAACGGUAACGCGGGGGCAACCCUGGCGACGAGUGGCGAACGGGUGAGUAAUACAUCGGAACGUGCCCAGUAGUGGGGGAUAGCUCGGCGAAAGCCGGAUUAAUACCGCAUACGACCUACGGGUGAAAGCGGGGGAUCGCAAGACCUCGCGCUAUUGGAGCGGCCGAUGGCAGAUUAGCUUGUUGGUGGGGUAAAAGCCUACCAAGGCGACGAUCUGUAGCUGGUCUGAGAGGACGACCAGCCACACUGGGACUGAGACACGGCCCAGACUCCUACGGGAGGCAGCAGUGGGGAAUUUUGGACAAUGGGCGAAAGCCUGAUCCAGCAAUGCCGCGUGUGUGAUGAAGGCCUUCGGGUUGUAAAGCACUUUUAGUGGGAACGAAACGGUCCGGGCUAAUACCCUGGACUAAUGACGGUACCCGCAGAAUAAGCACCGGCUAACUACGUGCCAGCCGCCGCAGUAAAAC
rnacentral:rRNA from 1 species